GUGCCCCCUUUGAUGGCAUAUAUACUAAAAUUGGAAUGACACGGAAAAGAUUAGCACGGCCCCUGUGCAAGGAUGACAUGCAAAUUUGUGAAGUAUUUCACAUUUUU
ensembl:snRNA U6 U6 spliceosomal RNA